CCUCUUUCUCUUUCCAAAAAACCAGAGCUCUCAAAACUUUACCGUCUUGAAAUAUCUCUUUUCAGAUUGGCUCAUGUGGAAUCGAUCUGAGAAGAAUAAUCUCCAAACGACCUUCCUUUUACCCAUUUUUCAAGUUUGUAUCCUGUAAUCUUUCUUGUGUACUGAUUAAAUUUCUUUGUUUAGGGUUUGUGUUUUUGAUUUUUUGGGUUUAUUUGAUGGGUCAGUUGAACUUCAAUACAGAUAUGAGCAUAGCAUCUCCGUCAACACCAAUCUAUGAUCAAAUCUAAGAAUGAUCAACAUAUUUUGUACUUUCUCCAGGUCCUCCAAAUCAAAACAUAUCUGAGGUUUUUUAUGAUUUUGGUGGUCUGUGUUUAAUCUUACCUUUCAUUCGGCUAAGGUGAUGUUAUGAAGAUAUGGAGCAAUUGACAUCCUUUUAGAUCUAUUUCAAAAAUCUGUUCCACCAGCAGCAACUCAAGCUUUGGAAACCAAGACAACGGCACAAAAAAUUUCAAGAUCACUGUCAAGUUCAUCAAUCACUACAAUUGUUAACACAUCUCUAAUGUCGAGACAGCCCGAUUCUUUCCGAUUCAGAGUCUUAAAGAUCGAUUCGGACUACCCCUUCUACUCAAGACACUAUGGAUAUUACUGCUACUCAAGACACUUUGGAUACUGUUUGGAUAUUGUUACUUGGGUCUUUGUUACCCUGAUUACUAGGCAAUCAAAACUUAAAAAACUCCAAUUUAUGUUAUUUACAUGUUCUGCUGAACGUUGUGUUGGAUUCGAUCCAGUCAUUACUUUGACACAUACUGGUUUUG